CACACACACAUAAAAUUUUAUAUAUAAUAUAUAGAUACCGACAUAUGUAUUAGAUUAUGCUUUAAAUAUAUAGAGAGACAUAUUUCUUCUGGUAAAUGUCAUAUAUAUUGCAACAUUAAUCACAGUUGUUUUUGUUGUCAUUGGUCAGUGUUUAGCUGCAUGUCAAACCUGAUCAAAGAUCUGCUCAACUGUGUAUCUAUUCCUAGCAGGUCAAGCAACCCUGUUGAGACACCAUCUCUGACACGACAGAAUUUUUUUUUUUUUUUUUUUGGUUGGAUUGAGGAGGGAAAGAUCUAUGAUGAUGAAUCAUGUAAUGGAAUCAUAAAACAUGUGAACAUGCAAACUGAUGUUCCUACCUAUUCCUUCAUUGAUCUACUUGAAAUUACUGUAUGACAAGAGUAUUUCUUGCUAAAUGGAUUGAGAGAAAAUGAAUCACAGAAAAAUAAAGAAAAUAUAAAAAAAGCAAGUUUUGUAAUUUUCAAAUAGAUUUCAUAAAGUAAUUGGAAAAGCAAAUACAAGAGGAUGAGAUCUUUAUUUCAUAUAUGAAGCUAUGAAGAUAGAAGCUGAGAUAAAGAUGUAUAUUUAUGGCAAACAGUAAAGAAAAAUCCAUUAGUGGUUCGAGCCACUUAUA